UUUGAAAUCUGGCCCCCAGGGCCCGAGUUGUACUUUGCAGAGGAUGCUUUGGGCGAGGUGCCUUCCGAGUUCCCUGGAACGGGACGCCAUAGAGGGUGAGAGCCCCGUCUGGUCGGACACCGAGCCUGUGUAAAGCUCCUUCGACGAGUCGAGUAGUUUGGGAAUGCUGCUCAAAAUGGGAGGUAUAUGUCUUCUAAAGCUAAAUAUUGGCCAGAGACCGAUAGCGCACAAGUAGAGUGAUCGAAAGAUGAAAAGCACUUUGAAAAGAGGGUUAAAAAGUACGUGAAAUUGUUGAAAGGGAAGCGCCUAUGACCAGACUUGGGCCCGGUGAAUCAUCCAGCGUUCUCGCUGGUGCACUUUGCCGGGCACAGGCCAGCAUCAGUUUGGCGCGGGGGACAAAGGCUUCGGGAAUGUAGCUCCCUCGGGAGUGUUAUAGCCCGCUGCGCAAUGCCCUGCGCCGGACUGAGGUACGCGCAUCGCAAGGAUGCUGGCGUAAUGGUCAUCAGCGACCCGUCUUGAAACACGGACCAAGGAGUCGUCUUCGUAUGCGAGUGUUCGGGUGUCAAACCCCUACGCGUAAUGAAAGUGAACGUAGGUGAGAGCUUCGGCGCAUCAUCGACCGAUCCUGAUGUUCUCGGAUGGAUUUGAGUAAGAGCAUACGGGGCCGGACCCGAAAGAAGGUGAACUAUGCCUGUAUAGGGUGAAGCCAGAGGAAACUCUGGUGGAGGCUCGCAGCGGUUCUGACGUGCGAAUCGAUCGUCAAAUAUGGGCAUGGGGGCGAAAGACUAAUCGAACCUUCUAGUAGCUGGUUUC
rnacentral:rRNA from 1 species